rnacentral:lncRNA from 1 species
CUAACAUGUUCAAUAUAAAUAUCAAUGUAACUUAAUUUCAUAAAACUUAAUAUAAAUACAAAUCUUAUGGAAAAUACACAUACACAUUAUUUUUUCUCAUUGCAGUCAUCAGUGACACUUGCCGAAUUAUCAUCUCGGCACAACUGUAGCCUACUGACCAGAACCCUCUAGAUCCUGGAGUGGGAAUGAAGAGGGGAAGAUAUGCACACUUGACUCUCCUUCUGACCUGGCAAUGUCUUUAUUUCCGUG